CGUGGCGUUUGCUGAAGGUUUUGUACGGUAGCCAAGUGAAGAAAUAUAGUUAGUAGAAAUUACACAGUGGCCGAUUUAGUAUCUCCAAUUAACCUGUCUGCAUGUCUUUGGGAUUGAGGAAACCGGAGUACGCGGAGGAAACCAAGGUGGACACGGGGAAAACAUGCAAACUCCGCACAGAGCUGAGAUUCGAUAACACGACCUUCUUACUGUGCGGCCACAGCGCUACCCACUGCGCCACCGAUUACAAUGCUUGCUUGGCAAAGCUAUCAAGGAUGAUCAAGGAUGACGUGCCCCUAGCCUCAUAGCUCCAGGCUAGCUCCAGUAAAUAGGCUACUUGCACAACCGCUUCCUUCCCGUAAUUCGUACUGCUCGGUUGUUUCCGGUUUAUCAAUGGCGACCUUCUACACCCGCUGUCAACAGGAGCUCCCAAAGAUAAACAUCACUCGCGUUCAUAGGAUUUUCAAAACGACUAAAGACUCAACCGGAAAAUUGGAGAAAGGCUAUUAAUUAUAUGCCAUGUUGUAUAUUCGUAACUACGAAGCAAUCCGCCAGACCGUCUCCAGAUCUCUUGUGGCACGCUACCAGAAAUGAGGAGGUUUAAUGUGCUUCGACAGAAACCAGAUCUCUUCAGAGGAGAGGUAUACCUAAGAGAAAAGUGCGUGGGGGCGGGUGGGGGGCGGCAAGGUGCGCCCGAAUACCCCUGUACCCCUCUUCGGUUCCGUCACGAUCGCCCUGUACCCCUCUUCGGUUCUGUCACGAUCGCCCUGUACCCCUCUUCGGUUCUGUCACGAUCGCCCUGUACCCCUCUUCGGUUCUGUCACGAUUGCCCUGUACCCCUCCUCAGUUCUGUCACAAUCCACUGUACCCCUCUUCAGUUCUGUCAUGAUUCCCCUGUACCCCUCUUCAGUUCCGUUACGAUCGCCCUGUUCCCCUCAUCAGUCCCAUCACAAUCCCCUGUACCCCUCUUCAGUUCCAUGACAAUUGCCCUCUGCCCUGUGUUCAAGAUAAUAAAUGACCACUGAAUCUUGAAACAAAUGUGUAUUAUUUACGUGUGAAAUAGGACGGAGUGUGGCACAGUGAGUAAGGAACUGGGCUUGUAACCGAAAGGUCGCAGGUUCGAUUCCCGG